rnacentral:misc_RNA from 1 species
CCAAUAGCGUAUAUUAAAGUUGUUGCAGUUAAAAAGCUCGUAGUUGAAUUUCAGGCCUGGCUGGACGGUCCGCCCUUCGGGUGAGUACUGUCUGUGGUCGGGUCCUACCUUCUGGCGAGGCGUCAUGGCCUUAACCGGCCGUGGCGGGGAACCAGGACUUUUACUGGGAAAAAAUUAGAGUGUUCAAAGCAGGCAAUCGCUUGGAUACAUUAGCAUGGAAUAAUGGAAUAGGACAAUGGUUCUAUUUGUUGGUUUCUAGGACCGUUGUAAUGAUUAAUAGGGAUAGUUGGGGGCAUUAGUAUUCAAUUGUCAGAGGUGAAAUUCUUGGAUUUAUUGAAGACUAACUACUGCGAAAGCAUUUGCCAAGGAUGUUUUCAUUAAUCAAGAACGAAAGUUAGGGGAUCGAAGACGAUCAGAUACCGUCGUAGUCUUAACCAUAAACUAUGCCGACUAGGAAUCGGGCGAUGUUGACAAAAUGACGCGCUCGGCACCUCAUG